UUUCACUCUCUCUAAUUUAUUACCUUAUCGCUUCUAUAGUUCUCUUCUUACUACAUCUCCUAAUAUGUUCUCUUAUCUCUAUUCUCAACAAUGACUUCGUCUUCUUUAGGUAAAUCCAUGAUCAGAAGGAAUGGUUAAGUGGUACAGCAUGGUGAGAAGAGGGAAAGAAUUGUUAUGCAGUUCUCCGUAUGAAGGGAAAAUGAAAAUGAAUGCUAGCAGAUCCAAAGUUGUGCGAGGAAUAAAGAUAAAAGAUAGAUGGUUAAAAGGCAUGUAUUGGAUAUAUAUUGUUCAGUAUAUAUAUUGUUCAGUGGUAUUCAUUCCAGAGGAAGAAUGAAUUCUAGCAGCUCCAAAGUUGUGUGAAUAUUCACACAACUUUCGAAUUUAACCAUUCUUUUUUGAUCAGGGAUUUACCAAAAGAAGACCUGAUACAACUGGAUUUAAUUGGACCCGCCUACCCUCCUGGACAUAAAGAAUCACAACAAAUGUCAUUGAUGAGGAACAUUCUUCCACUAUCUAACUUAUAUUUCUUUGAUGAUGGAAUACCCAACUUAUAGAGUCUUUGCUCGAUAUGAUGCUCCAAUAGCUAGGAUAUCCCAGAAACAGCUGUCAGAGACCAUCUUUACCAUUUUGUACUAUUUUUACCAUUCGUUAUGUAGCUAAAUUUUAGAUUGAAUUAAAUGAAAUUAAAUUUCCUUGUCCUGCAUUA